AACAUGGCGACGCGAUGUCCUUUCUCCAUAUCCCUCACACACACACAAAAUUUCUAAUCUCGCGACUAUUUCGAUUUUUCACCUUCUAGUCGCUGCUUUCACCGCACUUUCUUAUUCGAGCAAUUAUGUUUUGAGCCGCAACCUGGCCAAGAGCCCACUCGCGUCGCGUCGCGUUGCGUUGCGUUUGUCAAAGAGAGCGACAAAAGCCAAAAUCUCACAGCGUCCCCACAGCGAAACCCAAACCAAAAUCAAGGACCAAAAACGUUGCCGCCAUCGAACCACGCACACACACACACUCGCACAGCGAAAGCAUUUCUAAAAGUUCGGCCAAAGAAAAUGGGUGAAAAAAAGUACGUGGAACGUGGAAAAGUGAAAGCGAUAAGAAAACCCACGCACAGCGAAAACCCUUCGAUGUGAUAAGAAACCCCUGGCUUAAGGUACGUGCACAACAGAUGGGAUUUUUGCAUUAAUAAAAUAUUUAUACAACUGAGCGUUGCCAAUGCGCCCAUCGAUUGCCAUAUGCCCGGCUCGACUCGACUCGACUCGGAGUCCUCUGGUGAAACCGGGGGGAAAAAAAGAGCCGUAGAAGAAUGCUGGCAAAGCACGCGUUGACACUUUGCGCUCAACACUCGCAUACGAACACACGGAAUCGGAAUAGCAUAUAUGCAGGACUCUCCUCUCCGGAGAAUUUGCUCCGGGCCCGUCAUCAACGAAUGUCCUGCAGCCCCAAAAGCAGCAUCAGCACCAGCAUCAGCAUCCUCCCAAAUUGGUGGAGUUGUUCAUUGUAAACAAAGGAUGUGCGAACUCUCUUUCGCUGUUUUUUUUAUUGCUUUUGCCAUUGCAUUUGGCUGAGAUGCUGCUGAGCGGAAGCUCCCGAUUCUCACUGCGCAGACUUGGGAAAAUCGAGAGGAAAGCUCGCGGAAAAUCCAGUGGCAACUGGUAGUCCGCCUAUCGAUUUGACUCACAGCGCCAGCGCCGCAAUUUUGACAGCUGUCAACGCGCCGAAGGACACUUUGGGCACACCGACCAUGGAGCAUCGAAAGCCGCCUCCUUUCAGGAAGAAGGGGUUCCCCAGAGCUGGAACUGGAAUAAGACGAGACCAGGAGCCAACCGGCCAGGGCAAUUAAACAAUGUCAGAAAGCAUUUAGCCGGCAAAUGAAUGUCACCAGGCGGCCGAAGGAUGAGCUAAACUACAUGCGAAUUAAUGAGCUGGUCGUGUGGGUGCACUGAGAGAAAUCAAGGGUGUACAAGUUCAGGGCAGUCAUAAAUCAGUCAUUAAAUAUGUUUAAAAUUUUCGUUUUCUAUGAUUUUAUUCAUUUUGCAUAACUUUGCAUGGAAAAUAGGUUUUUAUAUCAUUAACUUUUUUAAUUCUGUAAUUUUAUUACAUUUUAUAUAUAUGUGCUCACAUUUUUUCGCAGUGCACUGAGGUCAAUAUGGAGAAUCCACUGCUUGCGCGAUCCCUUUGCCCGCUGUCAGUAUGAAUUUUUGAUAAUUUAAUUAGAGUGCCGCUGCUCAGGAGAAAUGGACGGAUGGGCAGAUGGUUGACGUCUGAUGGUUCGGACCACUGGCAAUUGCUUGUAAAAAUGCGGCUGACCACGGCCCAGCCCCUUUUUUCCGGCCCUCACGCACACCAGGCGUUACAAAGGGAAUUUUCAUAAUUAAGCAAUUACCCAUUUUUUCGGUAACAAUGUCGGCAUAAGUUUGGGUCCUUCGAGCCGCGUGGGCGUUGCGGUCACUUAGCUGACCGCUUCUCCAUUUGUUCUCGACUUCUCCUCCGUUGGGCGAAUGUCAUAACUGUUUUUGGGCCCCUUUCGCAUCGGUUGGGCCAGCUAACGAAGACGAAUUGGUUUUUUAUUCAAAUUUAAUUUAUGCCCUGCCCUAUGCCUAUUUUCGGGUCCCAUUAAAAUCGCCAAAAACAAUUGAGACACGUGAUUUUUGCGGCCUCCAAUGUGUCUCCAUGUGCUGUGCGUGCCUGCCUGUCAUAACCAAGGCCAAAAUGGGCGGGGGCAUCAGUGGGUCAGAGGGAGGCGUGGCAGAGUGGCAGGCUGAUGUCAACUAAAUAUCAUCACCUAAGCAGAUGGCCAAGAGCUGAUAGCCAUGCUGGCGACAUGGACACGGCGUUGGGGAUAUUUGUUAGGUGCAAAAAAUGAUGUUUCACUUGGUUCGGGGACAGGGCCACUUCGUCAUAACGACAUUGGGCAUUCAUAUCUGUUAACUGAUAGGGAUCUAGAAUAGCACAAGUGGGUGGGAGGAACUAGACAGGAAAUUUGUGGGCUAAAAGGCUAAAAGGUUGGGGCAAUAUGUAUUUUAGUAUCACUGCAUAGAAUGUAGGGAAAAAGUUUUGGGGAAGAACUUGGCUUAAGUACAAGGUUGAUAAAUUAUCACAAUGUAAUAAACUUGCAAUGUUGUUCUUAAAGCUCUUAAAUUAAAUAUCAAACUAAGGAUAGUUUUAAGUCCUUAGCUUUAUAAGUCAUAAGGAAGAGCCACUUACUUAUCAAUAUUAACCGACCGAUCCAUUUUAUACUUUAAUGUAAUUACUUACCAACUGCUCAUAAUGAUUUAAGAACCUUUAUGACUUCACCCACCAUUAGUUAUCAUACGUUUGCUUUAUUUAAAUUUUAGUUUAGUUCAGAGCUGAUAAAGUAUUUGAAUCCUCAUAAAUGGAAUCGAUUCAGACUACCUGUUAUAAAACCGGGCUAAUCUGAGCUGCUUAUCACGUUCCCACGCCACGAGAUCCACCUUCCGCCAAGUAGACAGCCACUUGUCCCUGUGAUUUCAUCAUUCCCGACAGAACUGGGCCUCCAGGGUUGGGGUUACACAUGUGCAUGUGCACUACGAAGAGUGGGUGGCUCCAUUGUAUAAUUACCAAGCUAAACAAUCAGUGCACAUUCAUGGCGCUGCUGUCGUCAUUGACAUAAUGCGACAAGGCGACCCAACGUCAUGGCUAGCUCGGUGAUAUCUCACAGAUAGUGACUACCGAUUCCAGACCAGUCCAAAGGCCCACCCCUCCCUGCCCCACCGCGCAGAUAGAUAUUGUACAAAUAGGUGGACGUGUCGUACACUGGCCUGACAAGAUAACAAAAUUAGUGCCUUCUAAACAUUCCCCGCUCAGAUAUUGUGAUAAAAAUUUAUAGAGAGUGGUUGUGGGAGAGGGUAUAUACAUAUAUAGUAAACCGACCGAGAUUUAUUGCCCCGCAAAUCUGUCAACGCACAGAGCCGUGGGGCAAACACGAAAAUAUUUGAGUUUGCCUUUUCGCCACAGAGACUGUGUCCUCCUCUUGUCAUUAUAUCUGGAUAUCUGGGUAUCUGUUUUUAGGAGCACAUAUUUGCAUAGUGCCAGAACAGUAGCGAUAAAAUGUUAACUCGCCGAUUAGCGCUGCAGCCACGGGUAGCGGCAAUGUAUCUGUAUCUGUAUCUGAGAAACCAAGUAUCCGGCUAUUCGAGUAUCUGCGUCCCAGAGUAUCUGUAAGUGGGCAAACAAUUGCAGUCCGUCUGCUUCUGCUGCUGUUUUUUUCUUUCUGCGCCGCUGCUGCUGCUGUUUUUGGUGAUAAGAUAGCCUUUCGCUGGAGCCGAAAAUCAUAAAUUACAAAUCAUUACGCAGACGUCGGACUGACUACUGUCGGCAUCUUCAGUAAUAAGUGGACAACUCUGGACUCUCAUAAUGCAACGACGAUUUUUGACAUGUACAUGAAUUAGACGAGAGGACCCCAAAUGAGUUCGGCCAGUCCGAGAACAAACAGGAACAGAAAAUCCAUGGGGAAGCCAUAAAAAGGGUAGUAUAACGAUUAAUUUUUUCCACGUUGACAUUUUAGCUUAAUUGCACUUCAAUAAUCCCGAAAAAAUACGAAAAAAAGAGAGGGCUUAAACAAGAACAGAUACAAGGCUAAAGCGAAAUGGCAAAAAUGCGUAAAAGGGCAUGAAAAGCGGCAGCCGACAGAGCAGAUACAAUUUUAAUCCCACGGACUUUUGCUGCAUAAGCACUGGCCGAGAAAAAAUCAGCAAAAAAAAAUAAAAUAAAAAAGUAUCUUGAGGGCUUACCAAAGAGGGGGGAGUGCAGGGAAUCCGAGUCCGAAUCCGAGGCACGUUGUCAGCAGAAGCUGAAGCAGAAUCAAGCCGAGUUGCAAGUGGGCUGCGACCCCAAAAGCGGCCAACAGCAGUACCGCUAACAAAGUUGACAAGAAGUAAAAUGUCCGACGGACUAAUUGGCUUAAACGCUGGCAAAAUUUAUUUAAGCACAUUAGUGGGAUUUGGUUUUUGCCAUCGCCAACGUUUGCUUGUAUCCGUACAUGUUGUUUGUUUCUGUGUAUCUUUCGGUCUGUGCAUGAGUGUUGUCCCGCCAUCGAUUCACUUGAUUCACUUGACCAGCUGGCCUUUGGUUCUUUCCACAUGACAAUAAGUAGAUUGACUAAAACUGAUUUAAGCACUUUUCGUUGUUUUGUGGGGUUCAUUAGUAAGAGAAAAGGUGCAACAUUAACUUGUCAGAAUUAUUUUUAAAGUAGAAACAUCACAAAUAAAUUUUAUUAAUUAAUUAUAAAAUUUGCAAUUAAUAUAUUUAUCAUGUAGUAAAAUAGACCAAAAAUAUAUUUUAUGUACUGCGCAUUAUAAAAAGAAGAAUCUGUGAUUUAUAAGACCCUCCGAAAAAGAGAAAAAACCCCAUUGAAUUCCCGGCCGAUCCAUUUUAAUUAACCCCAAAGCAAUUGUCACUUUUGCUGUGAAUCUGGGCAAGGCAUAAAUCAUUCAGCCCAAGAAUCCCCAACCAAAUUUUGAAGCCAUUAAAGCCCAGACCCUUAACCCUCAACCCCCAACUUCUCGUCUCUAUUUUCCCCUCUUACGCAACUUUUUGUCACAUGCACAAAAAUGCGGAUCUUACCUUUUUAUUUAAUUAGCUAAUUUCGAGUGACCCCAGUAAUUGGUGGGGAUAUAAAUAAUUAAAGCGGCUGAUGGGGAGUGCAAAGUGCAAAUGUAUCUCACGGAUACGCAGUUGAGCUCGAUACAUUUUUAAUAAAGCCGAGAGGAGCGAGCGUUCUUAAAUUAUUCAAAAUGAUACGCUGGUACCUCCAUCGUUCCCUGGUUUUUAGAAAUGUCGUUUCCAAUUUUACUCCAGCAUCCCCACAAAAUGGAUCUCCCCUUCGCCCGAAAGUAUUUUGAUCUAUUACCAGGAUACCCCAAAAAACGAGAAAAAAACAACAAACCAAAUCGUCGCAUUCAUACAAUAGAAAUUAAAUAUACAAAAACAACAACAAAUUUCUCACGCUGCUCGGAUGCGAAGAUUUAAAGAUUUGAGUUUCGAUUCCGAUUUCGAAUACGAAUCCAUCUUUGAGUCUAUCUAUGUGGCUCGACCCCAAAGUCACUUUCUCCCGUUGUCUCUGUGUGUAUACAUUUCACACCCUCAAAAAUAGAAAUUAUCUUUGUGCAUUUACGCAAGUUUUUAAUGCUAUUAGUUCCAUCUUAACAUCUCGGGUCUUUUCAGAUACCAUCCUCCAUCCACCAUAUCCAUCCCAUUCCAUCCCAUCCCAUCCUGAAUGCCAUCCGAAGUGAACCAAAUUGUCUGUUUCUGUUACCGUAUCUAUAUCUCUGGAUACAUCUCCGCUCUGUGUGUCCUGUGUGCCUUUUAUUUCAAUUCUAUUUUCUAUACACUCGCUCGCUGCGUUGCACUCAACAAGAGCGCUGGUUUGGACGCAAUUUUGUUGGCAAUAAAUCACCCAAAGUCGACAUUAAAUCUUUUUUCCCUUCUUUCAUUCUUUUCUUCUCGGUUUUCCUCCUUGGCAUUUGCUUUCCCUACUUUGCGUUUGACUUUCACACAAACAGAGCUCAUUGCACAUGUCUCGGGGAUUACGAUUGGACCAAAUCAGGGUAGCAGUGUCCUUUCGAUUUGUUCCUUUUUUGUUUGGUUACACUGAGCGAGAAACCGCUGAAGUUAAUAGGACAUUCUUCUGUGAUAUUAAUUGCAUUAACAUCCUUUAUAAGUAUUUUAAGUUAAGUUUAAGACAGUCAAGUUCUGUGUCAAGUUGCUUUUAACUGCAAGCUUAAUACCUCAAUAAAAUCCAUAUAUUUAUCAUUCAUUAUUCAUAA